AAAACGAAAAAGUGACUCUUCCACAGGUAAAGGUCGAAACCAAUCGGUUAAAAUCAGCAAAUGACAAACUGGGUAUACUUGAAUUAGUCAGUAAGGAUAUAAAAGAGUUGAAGGCAAGCCUCGAGAUGAGUGAUGAAAAAGCUGCGACAUUGGAGAAGGAAACAAACAGGCUAAAAGGGACAGUCAAUAAGAUUGAAACAGAAGUUUAUGAACUUAAAAAGAAGAACACUGUUCUGAGAGAAGCCUUACUUGACAUACAGACUAGAUCCAUGAGAGAGAAUCUGGUACUUACAGGUAUCCAAGAGAAAGAAGGAGAAGCUCCUGAAUCUGUAGUUAGAGAGUUCCUCCUUACAACGCUUCAGAUUCCACGCGAAGCUAUCGACAAAAUCCAACUCGAACAUGUACACUGCUUCGGACAGAGAGACCAAAGGGAAAAGGAGUACAUUUGACCUCCUGUAACGGUUGUCGUCUUCCUCUUCUGAGGAGGAGUAGGAAAUAUCGGACCAAUACGCAGCGUGAGACAGUCCCAGAGCCUCUGAACCUAAAGACCAGUGAAGUCUCCACAGAGAGCUUCAGGGUCACCUGGGAACACUCAGCCCAAGACGUGGUCCUCUACAGACUCACCUGGACCCCAACCAGAGGAGGAGACACUAAAGAGAUGCUGGUGAAUGGUAACAUGAACACCUACCCUCUGACUGGACUGACUCCCAACACUGAAUACAAGGUUGCCGUGUCCUCCACCUUCAGAGACAAGUUCGAAAGUGACGCCGUGACCAUCAAAUAGUCAACAGGUAAACUACAGGGGAAGACCAGAGACAACCCCUCUCCUCUUGACUCAGGUCAGGGUUCAAGUGAAAGUUCUAGUGAAGGUUCUAGUCUGGAGGGAUCUCCAACUGGCAGCCAUGAAGAUACUGAUGAGAACCAAGAACUGUUACCUGGUAAAGAUUCUUGGUGACGAGACACCUACAGGACCAUCGGAUUCAGCCUCCGAGUUGUACGGUCCACGGUGGCAGGCAUUGUCCCCUCUGUGGCACAAGCCAUUUGGGACUGUCUGGUUGGUGAAUACAUGCCUGUCCCCAAGGAGGAAGACUGGAGGGCCAUCGCUGCCAGGUUCCUGGAGAGGUGGAAUUUCCCCAACUGUCUUGGCUACAUGGCCGAGAACAUGUAGUAAUCCAGGCUCCACUGGCCUUCCCUUUGAGACCCAACCUCAUGAGGCCCUACACUGGACUCCAGCUGCCAUUGCCAAAGCCUGUAAGGAUCUUUAACAAAUGACUGUCCAGUGCAAGGUUAGUUGUUGAAUGCGCCUUUGGGAUUCUGGCAGCCGGUGGAGAAUGUAUCGGAGAGUGCUUGGUCUCAGCCCCUCAAAUGUCGAUGCCUGGGUGAAGGCCACGUGUGUUCUCCACAACUACCUGCAGAGGUCAUUCCAGGAGCCACUCCGGAUGGAGAUGGGCACGCCAAAUGGUCCAGGGCAGGUGCCAACAACGCCCCCAGACAGGCACUCCAGGUGAGGGAGAAGCUGACCACCUACUUCUCAUCGCCAGCAGGUGAAGUCCCAUGGCAGCAUAUCGUGGAGUGAAACAGCUCUUUUAAGCGCCCCCUAAAAUGUUUAUUUAUUCAUUUAACAUUUAACAAAGGUUAUUUUAAGAACCAUCCACAGUUGUCCAUAAAAUUGCAUUUUCCCCAG